UACGAAGGGGGCUAGCGUUGCUCGGAAUCACUGGGCGUAAAGCGCACGUAGGCGGCUUCUUAAGUCAGGGGUGAAAUCCUGGAGCUCAACUCCAGAACUGCCUUUGAUACUGAGGAGCUCGAGUCCGGAAGAGGUGAGUGGAACUGCGAGUGUAGAGGUGAAAUUCGUAGAUAUUCGCAAGAACACCAGUGGCGAAGGCGGCUCACUGGCCCGGUACUGACGCUGAGGUGCGAAAGCGUGGGGAGCAAACAGG
rnacentral:rRNA from 1 species